UGGUCCUGUGUUUGUGGUUGAAAGUCGAUGCCAGUCGCAGGCGAAGCGAUCCACGUAAGGCUUUCUAAAAGCGGAAAGCUGAUCAUAGUGCGGCCUAGAUGUAAGACCAGCCGGCGUAAAGCCGAGAGGAGGAGUUGUGAUAUAAACCUUGAGCUAAACUCCCAGCUGGCGAGUGUGGGGGAAAAAACCAGGUCAAGCGGGACAU
rnacentral:ncRNA from 21 species